GACGAACGCUGGCGGCGUGCUUAACACAUGCAAGUCGAACGGUGAUGCUCCAGCUUGCUGGAGUGGAUCAGUGGCGAACGGGUGAGUAACACGUGAGCAACCUGCCCCAGACUCUGGAAUAAGCGCUGGAAACGGCGUCUAAUACUGGAUACGAAACUGGCCCGCAUGGGCAUGGUUUGGAAAGUUUUUCGGUUUGGGAUGGGCUCGCGGCCUAUCAGCUUGUUGGUGAGGUAAUGGCUCACCAAGGCGACGACGGGUAGCCGGCCUGAGAGGGCGACCGGCCACACUGGGACUGAGACACGGCCCAGACUCCUACGGGAGGCAGCAGUGGGGAAUAUUGCACAAUGGGCGAAAGCCUGAUGCAGCGACGCCGCGUGAGGGAUGACGGCCUUCGGGUUGUAAACCUCUUUCAGCAGGGAAGAAGCGAAAGUGACGGGACCGGCAGAAGAAGCACCGGCUAACUACGU
rnacentral:rRNA from 1 species